GUUACAAGCCGGGUUAUCGCCUUUCGCUUUGCGAAGGGAGGAAAGUCUGGACAGCACAGAGCAAUACACCGGUGAAUAGCCGGGUGUUUCGCCACGGCGGAACAACAGAUAGUGCCACAGAAAAUAACUGUGGCGCCCAGGCGCCACGAGGGUGAAAACGUGAGGUAAGAGCUCACGGUAUUUGACAGCAAUGCCAAAUACGGGUAAACCUUGUAUGCUGAAAUACCAUGUAAAUCCUGCUUUUUAAAACGGAUCCGUUUUAAAAUGUGAGCUGCUCGUUUACAAUUCCGCUACGGCGGGAUGGCAGGAAGGGUAGGUAGAUGGAUUCAUUGAGGCAACUCUCUGAACAGAUAAAUGAUAACCAUCCCGCCCCGGGCGGGAUACAGAAUCCGGCUUACAGGCUUGUAACAUUU
rnacentral:RNase_P_RNA from 1 species